UGUGAACAAUUGUGUGGCAACAUACAAUGCAUUUAUUAGACAACAACCAAUACGUAUUGUGUGGGGUAGUAAAAUAUUCUACAUGAUACGUCAAGGUGAAUCUAGAUAACUUUGCUGAUCGUAUGGCCUUGUGCUGACGACGUUUCAAUUGAAUUUCUGCCCUAUCAACUAGUUGGUAAGGUAGUGGCUUACCAAGGUUGUAACGGGUAACGGGGAAUCAGGGUUCGAUUCCGGAGAGGGAGCCUGAGAAACGGCUACCACAUCCAAGGGAGGCAGCAGGCGCGCAAAUUACCCAAUCCAGACACUGGGAGGUGGUGACGAGAAAUACUGGAUCGUUUGUGACAAACAUGCGAUACCGGAAUGAACAUAAUUUAAGACUGUUGUCGAGAAACAACUGGAGGGCAAGUCUGGUGCCAGCAGCCGCGGUAAUUCCAGCUCCAGUAGUGUCGUGUGACGUUGCUGCGGUUAAAACGCACGUAGUUGGAUUACGCAGUGUAAGAACGGUACUCAAUGUGUAGUGACAUUAAAGCUUCUUUGUGGAUUAGUACAUGGGAUAACGGAUGUACGGCGACAGUCUGCAUUACGACUUGUGUAUCUAGCUACUUUGAGGUGUUACAAUGCAUUGAAUCCAGCCGUCUUAUGCUACAUGUAUCGUGAAUGUGACAUAUAGCCUUGAUUGGUCGUGUGUUGUGUUUGCGGAGUGUGCCUUGAAUAAAUCAAAGUGCUUAAAGCAGGCGUGUUAGCUUGAAUGUUAAUAGCAUGGAACGAACAAUUGUGAAUGCACAAGUUUAGUGUAAUGUUUCAACUCUGUUGAUGCAUAUGACUGGGCUUGUGUAGCACCAACCAUUGAUACGGAUGUUGGUUUCCGUAUUGAGGUGAGUAUUAAAACGAGCGGUUGGGGGCAUUAGUAUUUGGCAGCGAGAGGUGGAUU
rnacentral:rRNA from 1 species